rnacentral:rRNA from 1 species
AUUGAACGCUGGCGGCAGGCCUAACACAUGCAAGUCGGACGGUAGCACAGAGGAGCUUGCUCCUCGGGUGACGAGUGGCGGACGGGUGAGUAAUGUCUGGGGAUCUGCCCGAUAGAGGGGGAUAACCACUGGAAACGGUGGCUAAUACCGCAUAACGUCGCAAGACCAAAGAGGGGGACCUUCGGGCCUCUCACUAUCGGAUGAACCCAGAUGGGAUUAGCUAGUAGGCGGGGUAACGGCCCACCUAGGCGACGAUCCCUAGCUGGUCUGAGAGGAUGACCAGCCACAAUGGGAAUGAGACACGGUCCAGACUCCUACAGGAGGAAGCAGUGGGGAAUAUUGCACAAUGGGAGCUAGCCUGAUGCAGCCAUGCCGCGUGUAUGAAGAAGGCCUUCGGGUUGUAAAGUACUUUCAGCGGGGAGGAAGGAGAUGUGGUUAAUAACCGCGUCGAUUGACGUUACCCGCAGAAGAAGCACCGGCUAACUCCGUGCCAGCCGCCGCGGUAA